GUGAGAGUCACGUCUCCGGGGCGGCACCGAGUCCUCUGGACUAUCGGCGCCGAGGCAGCCGCGCCGGGCAGCGCGGAGGAGGCAGAGAUCGAACCCGACGGGUCCUAUAGCGUGCGCAGCUACGUCACAAUCAGCGCUGAUCAAUGGAACAGCGGCGCUGUAAAGUGCGAGGCUUACAACAACAUCACCAACGUCACAGAAAAAGUCUCCGCGUCACUCCGAAGGCAAGAUUGCGUUCCUGGGUUGUUUUACGGACUGCCCGCCGUUCUCCUGCUAAUUCUGGUCGUGGUGUCUGUGGCGUGUGUUUAUAGAAGACUUCAUAAAACUAAAACCGAUCACAAGUCCAGCGACGCGCCCUGCCGUCCCCAGCGCCCCGCCCGACACAGAACAGUCCAGGAUUACUCGACGGAGUACGCAUCGCUCAAUCUGUGACGGGCUCCACAAAGCACUGCGCUCAUCUUUAAAUACAGCCGUGG